UCAUAUUGGUUUGAAUCGAGACUGACACUCUAGGUAAGACUGGAGAGUCUUUCAUUGGCUCUAAUUCCACUUGUGACACUCCGAACCAACAUAGCUAAAAUGGUUGGCGAUAUCAGUACACUUGUCUUCUGCCACAAGGACCGAAACAAUAUGUCUUUCAACAAAGUAGAUUCUCAUGACGUCUUUGACAAACUCUCACUAAUAUGAACCGAACAUGCAAAGGGAAAACCUCCGACCCGACAUUCAAAAGUUUCGAAUGAAGAAUGAAGAGUGCCCUGCCCCAGCAAGCACCUACUCAAUUCU
rnacentral:lncRNA from 1 species